GGUAACAGCUAGUUUGUGACAUGUCACUGCUCAAACUACUCGUCCAAGCUAACUGCUUCGAGAACAUCAUCUCGAGUUUGUCGAUGUCACCGAUAUAAUCCAUCCAAAGAAGAUGUGGUAAAGUUUUCCAAACCUGAUUAUCUUUCAAGUGAUUUUGUGAUUUCUCCGAAUGAAAUACAUAAACAUAUAACAUUUCCUUUUUCCACGCUCUGUAAGUACAAGAAAUUCAGAUGUAAAUUAAACAAACUGAAUGGAACUGAAUUCAAUAAUUUUGUGGAACAAGUAAAAAAUGGGG
rnacentral:lncRNA from 1 species